rnacentral:rRNA from 1 species
AAAUUGAAGAGUUUGAUCAUGGCUCAGAUUGAACGCUGGCGGCAGGCCUAACACAUGCAAGUCGAACGGUAACAGGAAGCAGCUUGCUGCUUUGCUGACGAGUGGCGGACGGGUGAGUAAUGUCUGGGAAACUGCCUGAUGGAGGGGGAUAACUACUGGAAACGGUGGCUAAUACCGCAUAACGUCGCAAGACCAAAGAGGGGGACCUUCGGGCCUCUUGCCAUCAGAUGUGCCCAGAUGGGAUUAGCUUGUUGGUGAGGUAACGGCUCACCAAGGCGACGAUCCCUAGCUGGUCUGAGAGGAUGACUAGCCACACUGGAACUGAGACACGGUCCAGACUCCUACGGGAGGCAGCAGUGGGGAAUAUUGCACAAUGGGCGCAAGCCUGAUGCAGCCAUGCCGCGUGUAUGAAGAAGGCCUUCGGGUUGUAAAGUACUUUCAGCGGGGAGGAAGGUGUUGUGGUUAAUAA